GUGCCAGCAGCGGCGGUGACACGUAGGGGCAAGCGUUGUCCGGAUUUAUUGGGCGUAAAGGGCUCGUAGGCGGUUCGACAAGUCGGGUGUGAAACCUCCAGGCUCAACCUGGAGUCGCCGCUCGAAACUGUUGUGACUAGAGUCCGGUAGAGGAGCAUGGAAUUUGUGGUGUAGCGGUGGAAUGCGCAGAUAUCACAAGGAACACCAGUAGCGAAGGCGAUGCUCUGGGCCGUACUGACGCUGAGGAGCGAAAGCAUGGGGAGCGAAACAGGAUUAGAUACCCUGGUAGUCCAUGCCGUAAACGUUGGCACGUAGGUGUGGGACUCUCUC
rnacentral:rRNA from 1 species